UACAGAGGGGGCAAGCGUUGUUCGGAAUUACUGGGCGUAAAGCGUGCGCAGGCGGUCUCUUAAGACAGGUGUGAAAUCCCCGGGCUUAACCUGGGAACUGCGCUUGUAACUGAGAGGCUAGAGUGUGGCAGAGGGGGGUGGAAUUCCACGUGUAGCAGUGAAAUGCGUAGAUAUCUGGAGGAACACCGGUGGCGAAGGCGGCAUCCUGGACCAACACUGACGCUGAGGAGCGAAAGCCAGGGGAGCAAACGGG
rnacentral:rRNA from 1 species